GGCCUUAUGGUCUAGUAGUAUGAUUCUCGCUUUGGGUACCCUUUUGGGUUGUAUGCGAGAGGUCCUGGGUUCAAUUCCCAGUGAGGCCC